AGCGAGCUGUGCGUCUGGCAGCGCAGGUCCAGCAGCGUGGGCCCCAGGAAGGCGAUGCACAGGCCGAAGCUGAAGAAGACGCUCCAGUAGUUGGAGGAGGGCAGAGAGGGAAGGACCGCGUCCUGGAGGAACCCCGGGAGGAAUUCUGAAAUAAUCUCCUGGAAAAAAAAAUUAAAAAGACUUCUGGGGAAAAUCCUUUCUUCGAUGGAUAAAGCCUUGGCAUUGGUUGAAUUUACGGAUGCAGAACCCACAGAGACGGGGGCCACUGUACAGCAGUGAGCAGAUUUACCAAGAGGAUAAAUCCCAGCUGGAAGACUUGGACGUCUGGCUCCAUUUUCGGCACCAUCUCCAGAUUAGGGCAGCCAGGGGGAAACUUGGACGUGGAGGGCACACAGCCCUCCACAGACACAGACAACUAUGAAGUCAACUAUUAAAAGACUCCCCAUGCAUAAAAUUCUUCCAUUAAUAGUCAAUAAUGGCUUAAUAUGUGUGACAUAUUUUGAGGGCUUUUCCCCUGUGUCAGGGAAGUGGGUACGUUUUUUAUAUCUCCAUAUUACACAUAAGAAAACUGAGGCACAGAGAGGUGAAGUAAGUGGCCCAAGGUCGCUCAGCUAGCAAGUACUCUAGCCAGGAUUUGAGCCCUCUGGCUCUAGAGCCUAUGCCCUUAACCACAAGGCUAUCCUGCCAGGGCUAUACUGUCCUCUUCAGGGUCUUGUGAGGCACAGCUUGAGCUCUGACCCUCUUUGGGUACCCUGGGCCACCCCAUGAGUCCAGAGUCUGAUUUUGAACUCUAACCAGCCACCCCACCCCAGCCCUUGGCUCCCCAGCAGAGUGAUGUGGGUCUGCUCCAGCUCGAGACUACUAGGAGCCCAUUGAUGACAUUGCCUAGAGCCACAUCAUGCAGAAUGAGCUCCUUCCAGCACAAGCCGGCGCUGUUCAUUUGGAGCUGCGGCAUGUCACUAGGUCCUCAUGGUGAUGCUGGGAGGUGGACUAGAGUAUCCCAUUUGGCAUGUGAGGAAUUGAGCUCCGUGAGGUUAAGUCACUGGCCCAGAAUCACAGAGUAGCCAAGCCAGGAUUCAAGCCCAGACCUCCACAUGCCACAUGCAGCUCUCCUUUCACAAAUCCACAGCUGCACCCCAGGGAUUCCUGGCUGACAAAUGUAGUUUGGGUGUCUUACCAUGGUCUUUAACCCGCAGGACCCAAAGCUACAGCGUUCCCAGUUCCUUUCCUUCCCAGACUCUCAGGAAACCGCUUCUCAAACUUCUACUUGCUACAAAAUUGCUUGAGGAGAGUAUUUAAAAUGCAGAUUCCCAGAGUUCAUCCCCCAGGGAUUCUGACUUUGGAGGUCUGGGUAGGGUCCAGGACUCUGCAUUCUUAGCAAACCCUCAGAUAAUUCUGAAACAGGAGGGUCCUGAUGCACCCAUCUCUGAGAAACUUGCUUUACCCAUCUGAGCGGUAUCUGUCCCAACCCCUUACUCAUGGCAAGGGGCCCAUAAACCUCUGAGGGAUGAAUAAAUGUUCCGGUGUGUUUCAGGUUUCUCUUUUGGGGGUUGAAAAUGUUAUAAAGUGCAAUGGGAGAUUUUCUAGGCAGAAGAUGGGUCCUUUGCCUUCUGAGAGACUGGGCUACUUCUCCUGGGUUUCACUCCAUAGGUGAAGGUGGAGUGAGGGGUGAGGGCCACCCCUUGAGGGCUCAGCAGGGCCCUGGGCUGCGCCUGUGUUUUCAGACCAGGUUGUUGCUCUUUUGGCUGAAGUCAUAAAACAGAGUCCCGGGUGGGUGCAGUGGCUCAUGCCUGUAAUCUUAGCACUUUGGAAGCUGAGGCAGCCGGAUCACCUGAGGUCAG